rnacentral:lncRNA from 1 species
CUCUCAAAACACUUGGCUGUGCUUCUUUAUUUUGUCUAUUGAUGAAGACUGAAUAAAGCUCCUACAUGUCGUUUGGUUUUCUUAGUCGUUGGGUUGCAUUACUAAUUGCCUAAUUACUAUGAAUAGGAAUGACACACGCUCCUUGAUGUGGAUAAAUUGGAUUAACCUUAUAUCAAGAAAAACUUUAAUAUGCAUGAUACCUAUUUCGGAUUGAAAAAUAAAUUAUGUACAUGUAUAAGUGUAAACAAUUGAUAUAAAAAAGAAGAUGUGGUAUGACUGCCAAUGAGACAACUCUCUACAACUAUAGGUCACCAUACGGCCUUCAACAAUGCGCAAAGCCCAUACCGCAUAGUCAGCUAUAAAAGGCCCCGAAAUGACAGUGUAAAACAAUUCAAACGAAUAAACUAAAAGCCUUAUCUGUGACCAAUAAUUUAUUAUUUAUUGAUAUUGGACAUUGAUUUAAGACAACAAUCAAUCGGGUGUAGUUUUGGCAAGUAGUGCCGUCACAUUGGACGUAGAUUAGAGUAUCAAAAUAUUGGACGUCGAUUUGAGAAUGUGACGUCAGAUUUGGACGUCGAUUUGAGGAACGGACGUCGAUUAGAGGCCGGACGUAGAUCUGAGUCUAACAUAUAUAUA